rnacentral:rRNA from 1 species
UACGUAGGUGACAAGCGUUGUCCGGAUUUAUUGGGCGUAAAGGGAGCGCAGGCGGUCUGUUUAGUCUAAUGUGAAAGCCCACGGCUUAACCGUGGAACGGCAUUGGAAACUGACAGACUUGAAUGUAGAAGAGGAAAAUGGAAUUCCAAGUGUAGCGGUGGAAUGCGUAGAGAUUUGGAGGAACACCAGUGGCGAAGGCGAUUUUCUGGUCUAACAUUGACGCUGAGGCUCGAAAGCGUGGGGAGCGAACAGG